rnacentral:tRNA from 14 species
CGGUGUGACCCCAGACGGUUCUGGGUGCGGACUUCAAUCCGCGUCCCUCAUACGGGGCGUUGGGGCGAUCCGUAGGGCGGUAGCUCGCCAGAGGUUCGACUCCUCCUCACCG